UGAGUAGUAAUCAUCUCCUCACAUAAUGCUGCAUCAUUACUCAGUGAAAUUGUUCAAGGUCGUACCAACAUCUCAGCUGGAAAGAGUGUAUGCGAUGCAUUCAAUGCACACUUUGUUCCUUCAGGUUAUACAGAAUAUGUGAAAAUGCCAGAUUUCCUCCCUCUGGCUCUAACCUCCAACCAACUUUGCUGGGCAACCAGACUUAGCACUCAGAUGCUUUCAUUGAAGCAUUUUCCCAAAUGAAAUGAGCUAGUCAAAUUAGCUAGCGCCUUUUAAAAAUCUUAUCAAUCAUGUCGUAGAGCCGUGCAUAGUACUGUGACGGCAGCAUCCAAAGUCUUGAACUACGAGGCUUGUGCAUUAGUUGAUCAGCAGAAUUUGUCAUUGUCACGUUUCAUUGAUUUAUCUAAAGAUAGUGAUGCUGUUGAUCAUCAAAUUAUUUUAAAAAGGCUAUCAGUCCAGUUUCAUGUGAGCGUUAACAGAGGUGUGCCACAGGGUGUUGACAUCUUUUAGAAAUGAACUAGGUGAAUGUUUAUGAAUGAUAAAAUGGGAAUACUGAUUAUUUUCAUUAUUUCAAGAUGCAAUUUUCUCUACGCACAGUAUAUUUACAGUGAACUAAACAUUACGGUACUAUCCUUUGUGCAUCAGACAGUCACACUCUGUAGGCUUGCAAUGUGGCUCUGAAAUAUUUGAAGCUUGCUAGUGUAGUCAGCUUGGAUUUACAUAAAAUUGAUUCCAAUGUUGACCCAGAGCACAGAGAGACCCAACACAGCAAAAAAUAUAUCGCAUUGUAUAUAACCUUGUCAUGGAAACUUCUCAGAGCGCUUCUGCAGGAUAAUCAGCUUCUGAACUAGAAAUGUUAUUUGAGGCAAAUGUUGUAGUGGACAACAAAAAUACAAUUGACUUGACCAAUUAUUUAUAUUUAAUUGAUAUUGCAUAUCAUUGCUGGCUUUUUCUGUUCUAUUCCCAGUCAACAAUGGACUGAAAUAUGUUUUAAUGUUAACUUCUUGAGGCUACAGUAUUUGCUUUUCAUAUGACAGCCUGAGCAGCAACACUUCCUGGUUCACAUGUCAAAACAGAACUGAAAAGACAAUGGAUAGUGAAAAUCAAGAGGGACAUCAGGCCAUAUUUCAAUGUAAAACCAUAGACUGUAUAAAACAUGGACAAAGUCUCUGUGACAUCACCCACAGAUUUCUGAAUAUCCAUUGUGAAGCUCGGUGACAGCGGCUCCGGCCGUUGCCAUCUUGGCAGUGUCUGACUCAACCAAACUCCCCGCCAAGCCAAAAAUAGGCAAAGAGGUGGAGCUGAGGUGGCUGAAUGAGCCUGGUUGCUGUCGCUCAAAGCAGCCCUGCCCAUAAUUCUGCAUGAUUUUAAGCCCUAAUAUAUUUUAAACAAGUGAGUUGAUAAAAAAUUCAGAUGUCAUUGCAGACUUUUGCUUUUGCCGAGCAGGAAAAUGUGCAGUUGUGUUUCCUACAGCUUUGAUUUCCCUUCAAAUUAUUUCAUAUUUGUAAGCAAAAAUGCUUAGAAGUUCUUGGUUAUGUCCACCGUGAAGGCCAAGUCACACAGACACUUGCUAUCACUGAGUUCUAUGACAGGUUUUCCCUUCAUGUCCAUGAAUUCUUUCAGACAGAUAGCACCCAAUUCCUGCUGCAGAGUGUUAAUUUUAUUCAAGCAGUCUUGUGGCCCGCAGGCCAGAGGUUCCCCGCUCGUGAACUGUAGCCUUGUUACCCAAUUAAAAAUACUUGCAACUGAAAGGCAACUUUCUAAACUUGUCAGAUAUGACAACUUAAGAUUGUUUGGUAACUUGAUCUUUAGUUAAUUUGUAUUUAAUUUUUAAGACCUAACUUUGAUAGGUAACUUGAGUGACUGGCUUUUACAAAUGUUCCUGUCCAUGACAAACCGGGACCUGCACAACAUGCUGUUAGGGAACUUUAGUUUUGCUAAUUUUGCUUAUAUCAGUGUGAUUCCUCACUCUCUAUAGCACAGUUAAAAUAAAGAAUUCAUGAAUAUCCAUAAAUAUGCACACUAGAAAUAUGUCAGUUGAUGGGCUACACAUAGUUAUUUGUGCAAGACAACAACACACAACAAAUGCUACAAACAUAUUUGUUGUCUUCAGUUCCACUGUAUAUUUGCCAGCUUGUGUUUUAUUGCUGUCCUUGAUGAGUAAAAACCUACAGCGAUGUGAAAGGAAACUCGUGGCUUUUCUAUUCCUUAAUGGUUCAAUGUUUGGCACAGAUUUCCUGACAAAGCUCCGCCUCCAACUCACCUGAGACAAACAAGGAAACAGACAGUUGUUCCUCCACCAGGAAGUGAGGCACACACACACUGAGAGACAGACAAUACGAAUCUUUUUCAGACUAGACCCACAACUUCCCCUGAGUGAGGAAAGCUACAGACAGAAUUCCUGGGAGUACUGCAACUUUAUCACGCUGCUGCCGGCAUUCAUGGACUGUUAAUCUGAGGGGAAGAAAGAAAUGACUCAGUGUGAAUGUGACUUUCAUGGAACUUUCAAGAGGAGCUACAGUUGACUGACUUCCUGUUCAGCAGUUUGUCUGGUGUGUGAGAGAAAAUGUCUUUCCGAUCAGAGGAGGAUCUCUCUUGUCCUGUGUGCCACGACAUCUUUAAAGAUCCUGUCGUCCUGUCAUGUAGCCACAGCUUCUGCAAAGACUGUCUGCAAAAUUGGUGGCAAGGGAAACCUAUACAGGAAUGUCCAGUUUGUAAGAGAAGAUCAUCAAGAAGUGAUCCACCUUGCAACCUGGCAUUAAAGAACCUGUGUGAGUCCUUCUUACUGGAGAGAGAUCAGAGCUCUUCAGCAGGAUCUGAGGCUCUCUGCAGUCUGCACGCUGAGAAACUCAAACUCUUCUGUCUGGACCAUCAGCAGCCAGUGUGUCUAGUCUGCAGAGAUUCAAAAACACACAACAACCAUAGAUUUAGACCAGUCCAUGAAUUUGCACAGGAUCGCAAAAAGGAGCUCCAGCAAUCAAUGAAGCGCCUACAGGCAAAACUGAAGCUCUUUGAACAAGUUAAAAGAAACUGUGAUCAAACAGCAGAACACAUUAAAGUCCAGGCUCAACACACAGAGAGGCGGAUUAAUGAGCAGUUUAAGAAGCUUCAUCAGUUUCUACAAGACGAAGAGGAGGCCAGGAUCACUGCUCUGAGGGAGGAAGAGGAGCAGAAGAGUCAGAUGAUGAAGGAGCAGAUUGAGGCUCUGAGCAGAGAGAUAGCAGCUCUUUCAGACACAAUCAGAGCCACAGAGGAGGAGCUGAGAGCUGAAGACGUCUCAUUCCUGCACAACUACAAGGCUGCAGUGGAAAGAGUCCAGCAGCGCCCCCUGCUGGAUGAUCCACAGCUGGUCUCAGGAGCUCUGAUAGACAAGGCCAAACACCUGGGCAACCUGGCCUUCAACAUCUGGGACAAGAUGAAGGAGAUGGUCUCCUACACUCCUGUGAUUCUGGAUCCAAACACAGCUAACCCAGAAUUUAUCCUGUCUGAAGAUCUGACCAGUGUGAGACACGGAGAGAGACAGAAACUACCUGAAAACCCAGAGAGGACUGACUAUCAUCGCUCUGUCUGGGGCUGGGAGGGCUUUAACUCAGGGACUCACAGCUGGGACGUUGAGGUUGGAGACAAUACAGCCUGGUUUAUUGGUGUGGUAACAGAUUCUGUACAGAAGAAGAGACACAUACAAUCAGAGUUCUGGCAAAUAGAGUUCUACAACGGUAAAUACAGCGCACGCUUGUUAGGAUCUCCAGCCACUGUUGUACGUGUGAAGAAGAAACUCCAGAGGAUCAGAGUUCAUCUGGCUUGGAAUAGAGGAAAGCUGUCAUUCUUUGAUCCUGAUACUGACACACACAUACACACCUUCACACACACUUUCGCUGACAUGUUGUUUCCAUGCAUUGGCACUUUGAAUGAACUCCCACUGAAAGUGUUACAAGGCAAAAUCUCUGUAACAAGACAAUAGUUCAGUUCGGGAUGAUUGUGAGGAUAACGUACAGAGAUGCUGUCUCAUGUUAUCUUUGUGGUGAUUCAACAACAUUUCAGAUAACAUUUCUGGAAUAUGUUCAAUCAAGUGUCCAAUAAAGGCAAAAAUCUCUCCAAAAAAAAACUUUAAAUAAAAGUUGUUUGGCAAAUAAUCAAACAGUUGUCUAUUCACCCACCCAUCAAACAUGGAACCGCAUUAUCGUCCCACCAGAGUCGUGUUUGUUCCCACCUGAAUGGAACAGAAGGCCAAUAUUCACUCUCCUUUUAACUUUGCUUUGAUCACCAACUGUUUCACCUUCUUCACCAGCUAGUUUCUAGCUUUGACGCCAUUCACAGGUCAUUUGAUAGAUCGCUAGUGUAAAAGUAUUGAUUAGUGGAGUUUGACAGUGAGUCUGUUGUGUGUCUGAACUUUUCCCGACAUUUUUAUGGCUGCUGUGCAGCUUUUCAUGGGACAUGUUUCCACAUCUUAGACGUCUGCUUUAACUUUUCACAUCUCUGUUUCUAUGUUUUCCACUUAUUUAAUGCUACAUAUUUUUAUUAGAUUUUUGAUAUAUUCAUAUGUUGUCAAUAACAUUUCAUGAAUCCAUAAGUCCUACAUUUCACACAUUGAUUAUGUAUAAUCAGGGGCGUAGGCAGGGUCAGACAUUUUCAAGCCACUGAACAUUACCAAUUUUUGUGUAUACCAAUUCUUUACAAUUGUAAGACUGACAGUAAUCUCUGACUAUUCUUAAGAAUUGCUUUUUAAAAAUAAUAUUUUUUAAUACAAUCAAUGCUCAGGCUCAGUGAGUCCUCAUUAGUCCUCAUAAGGGGUCUGUGGCUCAGGAGGUAGAGCGCUCGUCCAUUAAUCCAUUGACCCCUGCAGUCUACAUGUAAAAGUGUCCUUGGCUGAGAGGCUAACCCUAACUGCUCCUGAUGGCUGUGCCAUCGGUGUUUAAGUGUGAAUGGCACUCUGCAUGGUAGCCUAUGCCACCUGUGUAUGAAUGUGUGUAUGAAUGGGUAAAUGCUGGCUUGUGCGGUGCUUUGAGUGGUCAGUAAGAGUAGAAAACUGCAGUAUGAACACAGUCCAUUCGGCAUUAAGUAUGAGCAGGAAACACUUUUGAUUGCAUCUCUUGCUGCUUGCAGAUACAUAUUUACACAAUGCCCAGUAUGUCAGCCUGCUGCUAUUGUGUGAUAUGACCACAUGGGGGCGACCAAGACACCCUAAUUUAUUCAAACUGGUCUAAUAGCCUUUAGUGUCGAAACCUCAGGUGUCAUUGAGAUGUUGCUGAACAAUGUGGUUAGUUUUUAGUUUGCAUUCAUGUCAUUAUUGUUGGCAGUAUAAAUUUCCCUUCUUUCUUUACCAAUUUCUUAAAUUCUGUUCUUUUUCUUUUUCAUCCAAUCUAAAAAUAUAAAAACAUCCUUAAACUAACAUACAAUGAUUUCAUCCAGAAGUGAACUGAACAAAACUCUGUUCCUCUGUCUCUUUAUGAGUUUGUUUCCCUUGGAUAUUUUACUGCUUACACUUGUUAACUUAUACUUUUAAAUUCUGAGUGGUCUUUCACUUAUAAUGGAUUAUUUUCCCGCCUUGGAGCUGUUACUUUUACUGAAGUAAGGAUGUGAACACAUCACACACAGAUGCUCCAGUGUGCUGUGUGUCUGUGUUUCAGAAAGAGACUGAAGUUCAUGUUUUCACAUUUAGGACUUUGAAGGCCACAUAUUCAAACACAGUUUCUAGUCUUGAAGGUAACGUAUGCUGUGUUAAAUGGCCGUCAGUGAUGUUCAGCAGAGUGUAGGAAAUUGGGUUAAAACAUGCUAAACUACAGUUCAUGACUACUCCGGCUUACAACUCCAGUUCCAAAAAAGUUGGGACGCUGCGUAAAACGUACAUAAAAACAGAACAUAGUAUCAUGAUUGGGCAUGAAAGGCUCAGUCAUUCACAGCGAGGAUGGAGCGUGGUUCACCACUUCUGUGCAAAUACUUCAACAGUUUAGGAUAGAAUUAAGACACUUUAAUUAACAAUAAGCAUAAGUCAAAAAACAUUAUUGUCCAACAAAUCUUUCUGUCACAUCAUGAGUUUCAUUUCCCUGCUGAUGUCGUAUUCUGUGUGUGUGUGUCUGUGUCUGUGUGUGUGUGUGUGUGAGAGAGAGAGAGAGAGAGAGAGAGAGUCUCUCUUCAGUCUAAUAAGAAGUCUUGAUCUGUUCAUCAAAAGAGGAAACCACAUUUGUUCAUCACAGCUUCAAAUCUCCGCUGGUGAGACACAAAACUCGGCUGCGUUUUGGACCAUGGGAGGUUCUUAUGGGCUGGCGGUUUUGGUGGGCGUGGCCUUGCUUCUCACAACCGGCCAAUGUGAUGUGAGCUGUAGUGGAACGGACGGCCGCCCGGGAGAGGCAGGAAUCCCUGGCAGAGAUGGACGGCCUGG